rnacentral:rRNA from 1 species
UACGGAGGGUGCGAGCGUUGCUCGGAAUUAUUGGGCGUAAAGAGCUCGUAGGCGGUCUGUCACGUCGGCUGUGAAAUCCCGAGGCUCAACCUCGGGUCUGCAGUCGAUACGGGCAAACUAGAGUAUUGCAGGGGAGACUGGAAAUUCCUGGUGUAGCGGUGAAAUGCGCAGAUAUCAGGAAGAACACCAAUGGCGAAGGCAGCUCUCUGGGACGGUACUGACGCUGAGACGCGAAAGCGUGGGGAGCGAACAGG